UAUCUACUUUUCUUCAACUUAAUUUCAACUUGGGUCAAAAUCAAAUAUAUAUUAUUUUCUCCAAACCUCUUCAGCACCUUCCAGAUUAUCCCAUGUCUGUUACAAUACCAGUACUUUUUGUGAAGUAAGCCAGGAUUGAGUUUUUAGGAGUCUCACACUUUCUCCAUUUAUUAUUUGUCACCUAGUCUUUUUAAAUUAUUUUUAAAAAUUCCCUCAACACUAUGCCAUUACUUCCUUCUGCAUUUUUCUGCACUGUUGAAUAUGCCUCAAUAAACCUCCACUCAUUAUUGGCCCAUCAACAUUUUUUUCAUCCUGAUUCUUUUACAGUGUGAUACACAUGCACUAGUUGGAUUUAAUUUUUCUGUUUCUGUGUUAGUUUGCUGAGAAUGUUGAUUUCCAGCUUCCUUCGUGUCCCUGCAAAGGACAUGAACUCAUCCUUUUUUAUGGCUGCAUAGUAUUCCAUGUUGUAUAUGUGCCAAGUUUCUUUAUCCAGUCUUUCAUUGAUGGGUAUUUGUGUUGGUUCCAAGUCUUGCUAUUGUGAACAGUGCUGGAAUAAACAUAUGUGUGCGUGUGUCUUUAUAGUAGAAUGAUUUAUAAUCCUUUGGGUAUAUACCCAGCAAUGGGAUUGCUGGGUCAAAUGGAAUUCCUGGUUCUAGAUCCUUAAGGAAUCGCCAAACUGUCUUCCACAAUGUUUGAACUAAUUUAC
rnacentral:lncRNA from 1 species